ensembl:lncRNA
UGGUGGGGGGGGAGGCGGGAGGCUGGGGUGGGGGCUGGAUGUGGAGUCCUCCGAGGUCAGGAGGCUGGGCUCCUCCUGUUUGUCCAUAUGCAUUUCUGGCCCCUUCCCCUCCAGCCCUGAGGGAAGCCAUCCCGCAGAGAGGCAGUUCCAGGUGCAGGUGGGCCACCUCCUCGCCCUGCACGUCCUGUCCCCGGGCUGCUGCUCUGCAUGCUGCUGCUGGGGGCUGCCCUCUCCCUGGCCCACCCUGCCGAGGGGCUCGCUGCCAGGCUCUGGGGAGGCAGGAUCUGGUGCCACAGCUGCCGGGCGUCAAGGGCAGCGGGCUGUCCUGGUAAGCAAGGGCUGACAAAGGGCCUUGCAGCAGCAGCACCAGAGGUUGGUGAGGACGAGGUCGGGACCAGAAUGAACGCUCCUCAUGCAUUCAUUUAUCAGAGUCACUGAGUCCCCUUGGCCUGCCCCAGGGCCAGCGCUGGUUGCUGGGGACAGAGAUGUGGACCAGCCCACCUGGGUCCCCUGCCUCCAGGGGGGCAAGCGGGGUAACUAAGACAUGCAUGUGCAAAUCCACAAAAGUGUCACCUCCUCCGAGAAGCCCUCCCUGACCCCCUUCCCUCCUCCCUGACUGAGGUGGCUGUUGCCCCAGUGAAGAGGGAAUCAGACUGCCCAGGUUCAAGCUCUGGCUCCGCCUCUUGCUGGCCAUAGGCCCAGGCGAGUCACUCCACCACCGAGCCCCAGUUUCCUCGUCUGUAACAGAGGGGUAACAAGAUUACAUAUGUCGUAGACUUAUUGUGAGCGUUAAAGGAAAUCCACAGGAUGGCUCCUGGGAGGGAGGAAUACUUUCAGCAGCCACAGACCGGCUUUCAGGAGAGGCACAGUGAGCAGGAACGGCUGGCCCGCAUUCUGGAAGAAAAGGUGGAGCUGGAAACAGAAGCCCCCAGGCUCACCCAGUGGGCAGGGAGCAGAUGUGAAGGACUAGGCCACCCAAGUCACCAGGACACGAUAAAUAGCUGCCCCCUCGUAAAGAGUAUAAAGAGUACCAGGUGACCCGAGACCUCUGGGGUAGAAUUUCUGGCAGGAUUCUGCCUCUAUAAAUAGCCUCGAGACAGGGCGGGCCUGCCCUGUUCCCCAGAGAGGCAGGCGGGCAGGAGCUGCAGGGGCGGUGGUUGCCACGCUGGACAAAGGCCCAGGAGGCUGGGGAGCAGGGGGCGUGCUCGCUGCGGGCCCCUGGGGACAUCUGAUCCAGGCUGGGGCUGUGUCUGCAUCUGGGUGACCUCAGGGCCAAGUGGCUGUCCGUGAGAAUUCCCAGGUGAGUUUGUUUCUUAAAAGCAUGAAUUAGAGCUGGGGACCAUAGGAGGCAAACGGAGGCAACUUAGAGGGUUCCCACCCUCUGCCAAGAACUUGGGAGCACAUAGGACAUACAAGAUAAGGGCCGUUCUUGGGAGGGCUUUUUUCCUCCCAAAUUAUUUCCCCAAAUAAUUCACUGGGGAAACAGGGGAGAAAGGGAGGCAGAUCAGCCCAGACUUUCCCAGUCUUCCUCCGGCCAAGACCCGGUGAGCAGACCCUCCCGGGACAGCGCCACCUUGUGUGUUUGCAGGUGGCUAGACGACAAGGGGCCCCUGCGCUUCCCUGGAGGGCUGGCCUGCGCCAUCGUUGGGGGCUCCCCCAGCCACUUGCCCUUCUCCUUCAGGAAUCUCAGGGCUUCCAGGGAUCCCUAACACAGCUCCUCCAGGUCCUGCAGGUAAGUGACACCACGGGUAAGGUGGUUCCCCUCUCGGUGCCUGCUUCCCUCAUCCUCACUAAUGGGGACGAGAACAAAUUCUGCCCUCUGGGGCUGUCCUGAGAAUCCACACAGUGACAGUGAUUCCCCGGGGCUCAGCAGCAGCCAGUCUGCUCCCCUGUCCCUGGGGAUGUGCGGCAAGGUCUGGAGACAGUUUUGGUUGUACGACUUUGCGGGGAGGGUCCUACUGUUUGCAUCUAGCGGUGGGAGAUCAGAGAUGCCACUCAACAUCCUCCAGUGCACAGGACGGCCCCACAGCAAAGUCAUCUGGCCCCAAAUGUCAGUGGUGCUGAGGUUGGGAAAUCCUGAUCAACUUCGACCAAUACUAGCCGUGACUGUCAUCUUCCUUCUGAAUCCCCGGGGACCUCCCGGCGGGGGCCCAGAACCAGCAUUCAGGCCAGCGCCGCUUGGUUUCUGAGGAGCUUUCCUCAAGUCCCCUCGGUCCUGUCUCACAGCAUCCCUGCGAGGGAGGGCGUAUUCUCCUCACUUUAUUUUUUCACGAUUUAAAAGAAAAUGUUCAAAUCCACAGAAAAGUUGAAAAGACAAGAACAGUGAACACCUGCAGCCUUUCAUUGGGUUUACAGACUGUUAACUCUUGUUGAUUUGCCUGUGUACUCUCUCUCUCCACACACACAUAGUGGGGAACGUAUUAUAUUUAUCUUUUACUAAUAAAAAUUUAUGUUUUUACUAAUCCAUUUAUUUUUCACCAAUCCAUUUGAAAUUAUAGUCAGCACACGCCACCCCCAAGGACUCAGCAUGUAUUUCCUGAGAAUGAGGACAUUCUCCACAUUGCCACAACCCAGGGAAGUUUAACGUCAGUCCCACACCAUCAACUGAGAGAUGGUCCAUGUUCAAAUUUCUCUCAUUGUCCCGAAACGUCUCAUAGCUCUUGUCUCAAAUGUUUUGCCUGCUGGGUUUUUUUUCCUUUCCCUUUUUGGAAGUGCGGGUCCAUUGUCCGGCAGCAGGUUCCCUGUUCUGGAUUUGUCUGAUUGCUUCCCCAUGACAGGAUUCAGGUUAAAGGUCUUUGCUGAGAAGCCGCAGAGUGAACCUGAACUUUGCACCAUAUGGAGCGAGGAGGCUGCUGUUGGACUGUCUCCAGGGUCAUCAGAGAUGCCCGGGGUGACCACCUGGUCCAGGCAGGACCGCGGGGCCCAUCGAUAUUCAAGGCAUCGUCUUCCCUUUGUAAUUGGCGGGGGCCGCCUCACCCAGGAAGUUACACAUCCCCACAGUGGGACAGCCAGUGGUCAGCGACUGACCGACAAAGGAUACAAAAGAUCAGCUGCCAUGGCAAUUGUUCCAGGCUGAUGAUACUGUUCUGCAUCUUGACAGAAGGGACAUUUGGAGACAGAAAAGCAGGAGUGGAAGAGAAAGCCGAGCGCAGCGGAGGGAUGCUACAUAAAGACGACGGUGACCGUGGACAGAGGUUUCCCUCCUGUGCCAGGCAUAUCUGUCACCCGGAGCUUCUCACCUAGUUUUGCAAUAACCACAUGGGGUGUGGUGUCACGUCCACUUCACAGGCAAAGGGCGGUUUUGAGGAAUGUGUCCUGGUUCCGUAAGAGGUUGAGCUCAGGGGCGCUGUGUGAAGGGUCCGUGAAAACUCUCUACUGUCUUUGCCACUUUUAUUUAAAUCUGAAGUUAUUCAAAAUUAAAAGUUUAUGAAAAGAAAGAAAAAGGCAGAAUUCAGUGAAGACUGAAGAAGCCCAGGGAGCCGCAGCCCGUGGAGGACGGGCUCCAGCCACAUGGAUGCUGCCCGACCAGCUUUCCCAAGGCUCCGGAGUGGGAUGGAGCAGAGCGGCAGAGGAAGAGCCCAAGAAACGCAGUGUCCAACCCAGGCAGGGACUCCAGCCAGACCCACGGGGCGGAAAAUGGGAUAUUUGCUCGCUCACGAGACACGUUUGGACAGAACUUACUAUGAAAACUUUCACACAUGGGCCAAGUAGAGAGCUGGGUAUCAUGGGCCUCAUGCACCUGUGAGGCCCGCGUGUGUCCUGAGGGGGCUGCUUCUGGGAGCAGGUUAGGGGAAUGGGGGUCUGUUAAUAGAAGCAACACCACUUCACCCUUCUCAUUAGACCUUUUAAACCAUGGCGAGGAGGUGGGGCAGGAAAUCCCCUUGCUCUCGCCAGCCCCUUGCUGUGUGAGGUGGGGCACGCUGCUCUCUGGGUCUCACCUGCCUCAGCUGGAAAUGAGGGGCUUGACCUAGAUGCUUUCCAGACCCCAAAGACAUGUCCAAAGCUGAAUUCGUCACUUGCCCCUACACCUGCUGUGGCUCCCAGGUCCCCAUCUCAGCCAAUGGCACCGCUAUCCGCCCAGUUACUCAGACCAGGAACCUGGGUGUCAUUCAGACUGUUCCCCGCUUUUCACCCCUAGUCUCCUCAGUCACACAAAGAUUCUGCCCUUUCUCCCUCCUAAAUGUUUUCCACCGUGGCCAUCUUAAUCCCUGCCCCAUCCUUGUCAUCAUCAUCUCUUCUGCCUACUGCACUGGUCCCAGCCUCCCAUUGCAUCCUUAUUCUUCUUCCAUGCUGGAGCCAUGUCCAGUGGAGAUCACACUUACAUUAAGAUCUGGACCUUGAUGCCCAAACUUCCAUCUGCUCAGUGUGAAGGAAGGUCUAUUUCCCCAAAUGUUUCUGAGAUUCUCUGUGAGCAUUUACACCCCUGAAAGCCAGUCUCCUUGACAACUCUGUGAGGGACAAAUUUGACUAUGCACCUGCUGGUCUCGCUGGGUUGAGUGUUGUGGCUGCUAUGGGUGACCAAGUGGGGGUCCACACUGCCUGGACAGUAGCUCCCUUGGGGCGCCUCUGCUGUCUAUGUCCCCACUCUUGUCACUUCUGUCCUCAUGGAGCUCUGAUGGCUGAUCAGGCCCGCUGAAUAGCAAGAGCGAGCAUCUUCCUCUGCUCCCGGGGCCUCACAGCCAAGCUGCCUGGGCCCUGAGUGAUACGCCCCUUUAAUUCACCCCCUCCAUUCUCCAGGGCUGCCUGCCUGGAUGCCAGGUCCCCUCAGACGACUUGCUGGGGAGGACGUUUCCAGGGGCCUCCUUUACUCACCUACCAUGUGACCUCUAUUAGGGGUGCCUAUGUCUCUGUGGGCAACAAAACACGGAAUGCCAGGGCCCUCCCAGCCCUUUGGUCCAGCAGUGGUGGGGUGGGCAGGGCUGGCAGGGGCGAUGUCUUGCUCCUGGCUGGCAGCCCUGCGCUCAGGCUUCCACACAGACACCACAUGGAGGAAACGCGCCCAGCGGCGCCCGUGCCUGCCCUCCUCCCGCCUCUCACCACAGCUCCUCCAGAGACAGGAUGGGCAGCCGCAUCCCUGCGGGCAUGCACCCGGCCAGGGGCAGGGCACAGAGGCAGCGCCAGCGAGAACCUGUCCUUACCGGAUCUGCUUGCUUGCAGAUGCCAGGGUUCCUCUGUCAUGCUGGGCUGAACACCUGGGAGGUGGAUCUGCUCCUGACGCCCCAGGCGUGGGAUGGGCAAAGGCAGGCAUCACUCACAUCUGUGGGAGGGAGGCUGGGCUGGCCUCUGUUCCCAGUGUCCACACGGGCAGGCUGACCUUCACUCCCGGCUCCUUGUACCCAAGGGAAGCAGGCUGUUCCACCUCCUCCUGUGAAAAUGACCCAUCCAGGUAGCAGGUCAAGCAUUUAGUCCACAAACUUUCACGAAGCCCCAAUUCCUCCAGGCACAGGUGGAGGCAUGGGACCCACUCCAGUAAACAGCAGGCUUGUUACACCACUUCACCAAGCUUUUAUUUCAUUUUUAUAAGCUUUUAAAAUAGAGCGGGGAGAAAGGCAAACCAGUGGAGGACAACGAUGUUGAGAACGGCCUGCGGAUGGCGGCUGGGCAGCGCCGGGUCUGAAGGCCAGGCUUCCCAACUUGAACAAGCUGAGAAGCCAGUGGGGUCACAUCUGCUCCUUUGUGGCCCAUAUUAUUAAAGCAGGACGAGAUGGGAUGACCACACCAGGUAACACGGUCCAAGUCUCAGGUAGCAGCCAGACGUGCCGGAACUCUCUACCCUGUCCGGCACCUGUGCUCCACUCCUCCAACAGCAAGAGGACACAAGGCUUAAAGCAUCUCACAGCUCAGAAACCACUUCCCCCACUUUUGUCUUCUUCUUCUUUUUGGUGGUGUCCCUGAGCCCAUCUCUCAGCUCAUGCCCACUCUCUGGCACAGCCUAGGUCUUCUUAUUCUU